rnacentral:pre_miRNA from 1 species
UCAGCCAUGUCCCCUUAUCACUUUUCCAGCCCAGCUUUGUGAUUGUCAGUGUUGGACGGAGAACUGAUAAGGGUGGGUGGCUGA